AGUCGAACGCGUUGGCCCAAUUGAUUGAUGGUGCUUGCACCUGAUUGAUUUUGGUCGCCAACGAGUGGCGGACGGGUGAGUAACACGUAGGUAACCUGCCCAGAAGCGGGGGACAACAUUUGGAAACAGAUGCUAAUACCGCAUAACAGCGUUGUUCGCAUGAACAACGCUUAAAAGAUGGCUUCUCGCUAUCACUUCUGGAUGGACCUGCGGUGCAUUAGCUUGUUGGUGGGGUAACGGCCUACCAAGGCGAUGAUGCAUAGCCGAGUUGAGAGACUGAUCGGCCACAAUGGGACUGAGACACGGCCCAUACUCCUACGGGAGGCAGCAGUAGGGAAUCUUCCACAAUGGGCGCAAGCCUGAUGGAGCAACACCGCGUGAGUGAAGAAGGGUUUCGGCUCGUAAAGCUCUGUUGUUAAAGAAGAACACGUAUGAGAGUAACUGUUCAUACGUUGACGGUAUUUAACCAGAAAGUCACGGCUAACUACGUGCCAGCAGCCGCGGUAAUACGUAGGUGGCAAGCGUUAUCCGGAUUUAUUGGGCGUAAAGAGAGUGCAGGCGGUUUUCUAAGUCUGAUGUGAAAGCCUUCGGCUUAACCGGAGAAGUGCAUCGGAAACUGGAUAACUUGAGUGCAGAAGAGGGUAGUGGAACUCCAUGUGUAGCGGUGGAAUGCGUAGAUAUAUGGAAGAACACCAGUGGCGAAGGCGGCUACCUGGUCUGCAACUGACGCUGAGACUCGAAAGCAUGGGUAGCGAACAGGAUUAGAUACCCUGGUAGUCCAUGCCGUAAACGAUGAGUGCUAGGUGUUGGAGGGUUUCCGCCCUUCAGUGCCGGAGCUAACGCAUUAAGCACUCCGCCUGGGGAGUACGACCGCAAGGUUGAAACUCAAAGGAAUUGACGGGGGCCCGCACAAGCGGUGGAGCAUGUGGUUUAAUUCGAAGCUACGCGAAGAACCUUACCAGGUCUUGACAUCUUGCGCCAACCCUAGAGAUAGGGCGUUUCCUUCGGGAACGCAAUGACAGGUGGUGCAUGGUCGUCGUCAGCUCGUGUCGUGAGAUGUUGGGUUAAGUCCCGCAACGAGCGCAACCCUUGUUACUAGUUGCCAGCAUUAAGUUGGGCACUCUAGUGAGACUGCCGGUGACAAACCGGAGGAAGGUGGGGACGACGUCAGAUCAUCAUGCCCCUUAUGACCUGGGCUACACACGUGCUACAAUGGACGGUACAACGAGUCGCGAACUCGCGAGGGCAAGCAAAUCUCUUAAAACCGUUCUCAGUUCGGACUGCAGGCUGCAACUCGCCUGCACGAAGUCGGAAUCGCUAGUAAUCGCGGAUCAGCAUGCCGCGGUGAAUACGUUCCCGGGCCUUGUACACACCGCCCGUCACACCAUGAGAGUUUGUAACACCCAAAGUCGGCUGGGGUAACCUUUUAGGAGCCAGCCGCCUA
rnacentral:rRNA from 1 species